GAUGAACGCUGGCGGCGUGCCUAAUACAUGCAAGUCGAGCGAACAGAUAAGGAGCUUGCUCCUUUGACGUUAGCGGCGGACGGGUGAGUAACACGUGGAUAACCUACCUAUAAGACUGGGAUAACUUCGGGAAACCGGAGCUAAUACCGGAUAACAUAUUGAACCGCAUGGUUCAAUAGUGAAAGGCGGCUUUGCUGUCACUUGUAGAUGGAUCCGCGCCGUAUUAGCUAGUUGGUAAGGUAACGGCUUACCAAGGCAACGAUACGUAGCCGACCUGAGAGGGUGAUCGGCCACACUGGAACUGAGACACGGUCCAGACUCCUACGGGAGGCAGCAGUAGGGAAUCUUCCGCAAUGGGCGAAAGCCUGACGGGGCAACGCCGCGUGAGUGAUGAAGGUCUUCGGAUCGUAAAACUCUGUUAUCAGGGAAGAACAAAUGUGUAAGUAACUGUGCACAUCUUGACGGUACCUGAUCAGAAAGCCACGGCUAACUACGUG
rnacentral:rRNA from 1 species